UUAAACUAGAAUGCAACAAUGUCAUUUGGUUCUUUUAUCCAUAGAAUUGAUUUAAAAUGGAGCUAAAAGAAUUGAAAAUCUAAUUCUCAUUUAAAGAGGGAAAACUAUUUAGUCUUCCAACUAAUUUGGGCCAAAAUGCAAUAACCUUAACUUUUGAGUCAAAAUGAAAAUACACCAAAGUAUCAAAACUUUAUGUAAUUGUAAGAAAACCCCGAAAACUCUCCUUUUUUUAGGGUCGCCGGUUUUGAUGGGAGAGAGCGCUUGAAAAACUUAGGGAAAUAGAUAGAAAUAAGACAUUUUCUUAAUCUUGGGACAGAAAUAGGAAAUUUUGAAUAUGCACACACCAUGCAUACGUGAUACACAACAAUUGGACAAAAAUAGACUUUUCAUAUUUAUCAUGACAAACCGUAUUAUAAUAGUUUAUAAAUUGAACGUUUGUAAAACCACACCAAGCCCAUACAAAUCAUUCAUAUUUGUCAUGCCAAGCCAUGUUAUAGUAUCAACAUUAUAGUAUGAAUCACGCCAAGCACACGACAAAAGAGUCCCCCACAAUCAAUAACAAAUCUACAUAGGGACCUGGGAGGUCCCAGGACCCGUUGGCGAUCCUAAACCGCUGGUAGAAAUUUUCCAAUAACCCCUCAUACUCGAACAUGAGAUUUGUGCAUGUUGUAGGUUGCAGGUUGCAGUGGCUAUCUUCUUCUCGGAGAAAAUGACCGCACAUAGAGAAGAAAGAAAAUAGGGACCCUUCCUGCACCCUUCCUGCCUCUCUCCUUCUUGCUUCUACCAUGGUCUCAUCCGUCGGUGCUACCCACUUCUCCUCCAACCUUUCUCUGUCGUCUGUCGAACCCGUCCCAAAAUCCUCCUAUCUUUAUCUUGGAAGCCAUGGCAGCACUCCGUCGUCAUUGUCGGACUUCUCCGUCAUGGAAUUCAUGGCAGAACCCCCUUUCGCCGCCGCCACUCCCCAAUCUCUCUCUAACCACUCAAUCUCCCCUCUCUCAUCCCAUUUUCUUGCAGCUAUUUCAAUUGAUUCGCAUCGGAUCUACAGCUCCAAUGUCCGAUCUACAAAAUCCAUACGGGCCAGCCCUUAACGACGCCAUUUGAAGUCACAAACUUGACGGAUUUGUCGCAUGCAAAGCUCAAUUUUCAUUUUCCUUGUCGUUCCUUCCAUAAAACCAUCUAUCUAUUUUUCCAUGUUGAUUUUUUCAGGUAAUUAAUGGUCUCCAGCCUUCGAUCUAAAGGACGACAAUCUUUUAAAUUAUUUCAUUAAAAAAAUAAGAGGCAAGAUUAAUGUUCUGCACAUUAGGGAGAAUCUUCUGCAGAUCACCAAACUAGAUCUUCUUCGAACAGGGAAGAACGAGCACAAACAUGGAGGAUGAGCUGGGAUAGUGAGAGGUGAGAACUGCGACUCACAAAACGCCCAGAGAAAUUAGGCCAAGACGCCGAAGUGAGUAAAGUAUUGUGAAUGAAUCUCAUAUUUAUGGGCAGAGAGAUAUUGUAUGAGUUUAUAAGUAAGUUGACUUACUCAUCAUAUUGCUAAUUCAUUUUAUGGUGGAACCUCAAUUUUUUCAUGGUAUCAGAGACCAGGUUGUUUCUCUGUGAAUCACAAUGACUACAAAUGCUCCACAUUAACCUAUUGUGUUAUCCAUGUAUUACACUUGAAAAUUCGUCACAUGUGAGGAAAAAUGUUAAAAAUGAAUCAUGCAUUGAUGGGAGAAUAAACAUUGCAUGUGCUUAUAAAUAAGUUGGGAUAUUCUUCAUAUUACCAAUUAGUUUUAUGGUAAAAUUCCAAUUUUCUUCAAUAGGGGCAAAUGUUGUAAUUUUGUAAAAUAUAUACGCGCCCGGGGCGGGAAUGUUUGCUGAUUGAAAAUUCCAUUAAAAGGGCAUUAUUCAC
rnacentral:lncRNA from 1 species